AACGAACGCUGGCGGCAUGCCUAACACAUGCAAGUCGAACGGUGGCUUCGGCCAUAGUGGCGCACGGGUGAGUAACGCGUGGGAAACUGCCCAUCAGUGGGGAAUAACAGAGGGAAACUUCUGCUAAUACCGCAUACGCCCUUCGGGGGAAAGAUUUAUCGCUGAUGGAUGUGCCCGCGUCCGAUUAGGUAGUUGGUGGGGUAAAGGCCUACCAAGCCUACGAUCGGUAGCUGGUCUGAGAGGAUGAUCAGCCACACUGGGACUGAGACACGGCCCAG
rnacentral:rRNA from 1 species